rnacentral:tRNA from 1 species
GGAGGGUUGGCAGAAUGGUAAUGCACCGCUUUCGAAAAGCGGCGGGCGCAAGCCCUUGCAGGUUCGAGUCCUGUGCCCUCCG